GGAUGUGAGGGCGAUCUGGCGACAUCUGUCACCCAAUUGAUCGUGAGUUGAUUUGGCUGAUUUGGCCGGCUAGGCAGGUGUCCCCUUCCUCCCUAACUGCUCCAUGUGUGUUCCUCCUGAAGCUGCAUGCUCAAAGAGGACAACCAUCCCUGAUAGAGAAGGACCCGUCUAUGGUCAAAGGUAUACAAGUAGCUGAGCUCCUCUGCUAGAACCUCCAAACAAGCUCCCAAAUCCCAAUACAACCCCCAAAAAAAAAAAAGUUCUUCUUAGGCUUAUCCUGUUUU
rnacentral:snRNA from 1 species